CUGGUUGAUCCUGCCAGAGGUCACUGCUAUCGGGGUUCGAUUAAGCCAUGCGAGUCGAGAGGGUUCAGACCCUCGGCGGACUGCUCGGUAACACGUGGAUAACCUGCCCUAAGGUGGAGCAUAACCCCGGGAAACUGGGGAUAAUACUCCAUAGGUUAGAGAUACUGGAAUGUUCUUUAAUCGAAAGUUCCGGCGCCUUAGGAUGGAUCUGCGGCCGAUUAGGUAGUUGUUGGGGUAACGGCCCAACAAGCCUGUAAUCGGUACGGGUUGUGGGAGCAAGAGCCCGGAGAUGGAAUCUGAGACACGAUUCCAGGCCCUACGGGGCGCAGCAGGCGCCAAAACUUUACAAUGCAGGAAACUGUGAUAAGGGAACCCCGAGUGCCCGUAUACGCGGGCUGUCCGGGUGUAUAAAAAGCAUCUGAAGAAAGGGCCGGGCAAGACCGGUGCCAGCCGCCGCGGUAAUACCGGCGGCUCGAGUGGUGACCACUUUUAUUGGGCUUAAAGCGUUCGUAGCUGGACUCUUAAGUCUCUUGGGAAAUCCCGCGGCUCAACCGUGGGGCGUUUAAGAGAUACUGGGAGUCUAGGAACCGGGAGAGGUAAGAGGUACUUCGGGGGUAGAAGUGAAAUUCUGUAAUCCUCGAGGGACCACCGAUGGCGAAUGCAUCUUACCAGAACGGCUUCGACAGUGAGGAGCGAAAGCUGGGGGAGCGAACGGAAUUAGAUACCCCGGUAGUCCCAGCCGUAAACGAUGCGCGUUAGGUGUACUGGUGACCACGAGUCACUGGGGUGCCGAAGGGAAACCGUGAAACGUGCCACCUGGGAAGUACGGUCGCAAGGCUGAAACUUAAAGGAAUUGGCGGGGGAGCACCAC
rnacentral:rRNA from 1 species